rnacentral:rRNA from 1 species
UACGUAGGGGGCAAGCGUUGUCCGGAAUCAUUGGGCGUAAAGAGCGUGUAGGCGGCCAGAUAAGUCCGCUGUGAAAUCUCGAGGCUCAACUUCGAGCUGUCGGUGGAAACUGUCUGGCUAGAGUCCGGAAGAGGAGAAUGGAAUUCCUGGUAUAGCGGUGAAAUGCGCAGAUAUCAGGAAGAACACCCGUGGCGAAGGCGGUUCUCUGGGACGGUACUGACGCUGAGACGCGAAAGCGUGGGGAGCGAACAGG